UACGUAGGUGGCGAGCGUUGUCCGGAAUUACUGGGUGUAAAGGGCGUGUAGGCGGGAAUGUAAGUCAGAUGUGAAAUCCCAGGGCUUAACCCUGGAGCUGCAUCUGAAACUAUGUUUCUUGAGUGCCGGAGAGGAUAGCGGAAUUCCUAGUGUAGCGGUGAAAUGCGUAGAUAUUAGGAAGAACACCAGUGGCGAAGGCGACUUACUGGACUGUAACUGACGCUGAGGCAUGAAAGCGUGGGGAGCAAACAGG
rnacentral:rRNA from 1 species